rnacentral:rRNA from 1 species
UACGGAGGGUGCGAGCGUUGUUCGGAUUCAUUGGGCGUAAAGGGUGCGUAGGCGGCGCGGUAAGUCGGGUGUGAAAUCUUGGAGCUUAACUCCGAAACUGCAUUCGAUACUGCCGUGCUUGAGGACUGGAGAGGAGACUGGAAUUUACGGUGUAGCGGUGAAAUGCGUAGAUAUCGUAAGGAAGACCAGUGGCGAAGGCGGGUCUCUGGACAGUUCCUGACGCUGAGGCACGAAGGCCAGGGAGCAAACGGG